UCUCAUUUUAUCCCUCACGCACACCACCUCUGUGUCUCUCUCAAUUCACAUUUUGCAUCCUUCAUUCACAACUCCAAAUACUCUCCCUACUCACGGCUCUCCCUUCCAUCACUCUCUCGAUCAUGAAUCCACAAUUUUAAUUUAUUUUCUUUCUACUACAGAGCCCUUAUUUUCUCCUUCUAAUACAAAACAUCAAUUUUCCUUUCUUUUCAUUUCUUUUGCUGCAGCUCACCAAUUCUUUCCACUUAUUCUUCCUCUCUUUUCUUUCCCCUGGGCAGCAUAAAAAACGCACAUCAUGGUCCCUUUUCCUCCCUCACGUGAUUCCUCUCUUGUGCAGCACCAUCAUCUUCAUCUUCCAAUUUUAUGGGUACGAAGGACGAAAGCGCCUCGCGGCGAAGCUAAAGAAUAGAAGGAAGCGAGCCGACGUGGAAAACAAAGAUGUAAUCGGAUCGGAGUUGCACCUUAGUACGGAAAUUGGCAAAGAUGUCGAUGGCCGACUGGUUUUCGAUGGUCUCUCCCUCGGGGAGGAUCAGGUUUGAGAUGGAGGACCGGACUGACGAGCGUGGACGUCUGACGAUAGGAGUUCUACGACGCAUGGAGCUGAGCUUCAACUUGCCAACUUCAGUUCGCGGUGGACUCGGUACUGGAAGGGUAGGUUUAGGCAGGCGUCAGGUUUUGUGUAGAGCUCUGAUUCGUUUUGCUUUUGGGACAGGGUAGGUUCCCGACGCAUGACUUCUGUGUGGUUCUCUUACUGAGGGAUCACAGUGAGUCAGUCGGACCAUAAGGGUCUUUGCUUAGGCCAUUUUUGAGGCCGACUAUCUUCUUGUGGGUUGUAAUUAUAAACUUUCUUACUCACACUUCUGGAUCUGUAAAUAUUUGCCUACGGGCACACUACUUUGGAGUCACUGCGAGUGCGCGUGACGGGAGAGUGCAGCUGAGGCUGUACUUGUGUAUAUAUUUGUAUAUUGGUUAGUUAGUGUUGGGUUAUGUCUUUACUUUCUAUCGCUUUAUUUAAAAAGAAUCAAACGGAAAAAAAAAUUACCUGUUUUCCGCGUAAAGUUUAUUUUUGGUUACUAAAGUGACACCUGGAAAUCGGGGUGUUACAGGUUGCUAAAUCCCCCAGUUUUCUUAUAAGUAUUCCAUGUUGGGCACUUGUUUUGGGAGCAUUUCUUGCGCUUGAGGGCAAGCCAGUGUUUUUUUCGCUCGAGGGCGAGCUGCCGUUGAGUAUAGUGGUGUGAUGACUCUAGUUUAGUAGUUUUUUAGGGUCAUUUCUUUGUUUGUUUUAACUCUUUUUGUUGAGUCUCAUGUAGUGUUUUCAUGCAUUCUCAUGCAUUUUUAUCUUUCUUUGAGUCUUUACUUUGUUUUGGUAAUUUUGUAGUUUUAUAGGGACUUUUCUCGCAUUUUAAGUAAGUUUAGGACUUGCAUGAUUUUCUUAUGUUAUUUGAGGGUCCUCUUUGCUAAUAAGCUCUUUGAGCUUCUGCAUAUUUUCCUUGUCUUGUUGGUUAAGUUUUCAGAUCAGAAACUGAAGGAGAAAGAAGGCCAAGAAGCAUGGACUUGAUGGAGGACUUAAAGGUGCUUGAAGAGGAGUUAGGAAGAAGCUAAAAAGCCAUUCCAGCGAGCUUCGAGCGCCUAGGCGCUGGGAAUUGGCGCCUAGGCGCUAGGAACCUUCUAGAGAGCAUGUUUUCAGCUGGAAUUGGCGCUCAGGCGCUCUGAAAUGGCGCCUGAGCGCCCAGACUCACCUGUUUUGCCUAUAAAUUGGUUUUUAGACAUUUCUCUUGGAACCUUUCUCUAAGCCCUAUGUUUCAGGUUUCAUCUUUAUCUUCUUGUAUGGAUUUCAUAGCCAUGUUUGGCUAAAACCCCUUUUGCUUUGGGUUCUUUGUAAGACUUAUGAUGUUUUAAUCUUAAUUCUUAUUUCUAUUCAUGAUUUCUCUGAGUAAACCCUUGAAUCCCAUAUCCAUGCUUUAUGUUUCAAGUUAGAACACGUGCUAGCUUUAUGCUUUUCUAUAAUAGAACGGAAGUUUGUUAUAGAUUAGGGACUUGUUGUGGGAUUACCUCUUCUAUACUUGCUACUAGGAAUAGAGGAAAGGUUGAGGUUUGUUUGCCUGAAUUGCAUGAUUAAUGCCUU